GCCUUCGUGAUGUAAUUGGGAGCAGACUCGACUCGUAUUCGAGAGGUCUAAAGUUCGAGUCCCGGCGAGGGCA
rnacentral:tRNA from 1 species